rnacentral:lncRNA from 1 species
AUUUAGAGACAUCAUAGACCAAAUGAAAUGGAUGCGUAAAGAAGGGGAAUUAGAUGAAGAGGGGGGGAAUGGAUCAAAACUCAAAUUGAUCAAAGGAGGACAUUCACCAAAUUAAUAUCGUUCACUCAUUUUGGGACAUGGAAUGUACAUUCCAUCAAUCCCCUAAAUCCAAUGAUAUUAACCUAACAAAGUCAAAUCAACCUUGACCAAGGCCCAACAACACAAGUCAAAC